rnacentral:rRNA from 1 species
GACAGAGGCCUCGAGCGUUAGGCGGAAUCACUGGGCUUAAAGCGUGUGUAGGCGGGCCCGUAAGUGUCUUGUGAAAUCCCACGGCUCAACCGUGGAACUGCUUGGUAUACUGGUCGUCUUGAGCCACCUAGGGGCAACCGGAACAAACGGUGGAGCGGUGAAAUGCGUAGAUAUCGUUUGGAACGCCAAUGGUGAAAACAGGUUGCUGGGGGUGUGCUGACGCUGAGACACGAAAGCCAGGGGAGCAAACGGG